rnacentral:antisense_RNA from 1 species
GAUAACCGUAGAUUACGAAGGGAUCUAACGUUGGUGCGCUGACUGUGCGUACGGUUUGGCUAACGCUGUCGUAAAUUCCACCCCAAUACAUCGCUUUUCCUGCUAGUAGUAGAGCUCCAAUGCCCAAAAACAGGAGAUGAUGUCCGAGAAUGAUGCCUAAUUGUUUAGUAUCAUCCCA